UACAUGGGCAGUGCUGCCGGUCUCUGAGUAGUGCCAUCUGCAUUGUUGUCAGCAAAUGAAUCAAGAUCACUGUAGUCAGACAAAACUGCCGUGUGGAAAUCGGGUCAUGGUGAAUUUGGCAGGAUAUUAAAUGAAGGGCUCACAAGUUCCACACAUUCACAAGAAUGCAAGUUCCAUUGCGUGACAAAUGAACCUGUUCCCUUUAGUAUUUUCAAGGACUUGGUGACACAUUCCCUGAGACCACAGGAGGAUUCAGGUGACCUCAGGAUGUGUCUAGCCCAACGUACUGCUCAUAACAGAGUCAGCUAUGAGAUGAGACCAGCCCAGGGCUUUUUGCAGUUGGUCUUGAAAACAUCGAAAGAUGGAGACUGAACAGCCACACUGAGUAACGUGCUUCACUGCUUAACUGUUCUCACGAAGAUGAAAUUUUGCCUUAUAUGUAGUCAAAAACAUUUUGCUUUCAGCUUGUGCCUGUUGUCUGUCAUCCUCCCUCUGUGCACUGCGGUGAGCAGCCUGGCUCUGUCCUUUCAAUAACCUACUUGAAGAUACCAGAAGACUGCUCUUGGGUCUCCCUGAAGCAUUCUCUGCACCAGACUGAACAAGAUCUGAUGACCAGUCUCAUUGCUUGUGUUGCACAGGUCUGUCUGAGCUUUACCUAACUCAUUCAAUUUUCUGUUCCUGUCUGAUCUGACUCCAUCCUGUUGCUCAAGCACAGUAAGAUAGAAGGUUCAGAAGACCUGCAAUGACAAGUAGUGGAGCAAAUGUGCAAAGCACAGUCAGCUGAGCCAUGUUUGUCUUGGAUCACCUGUGCUGUUUUGUUUUUCAGUUCAGACUCACUCCUUCUAGGGUUGUAGUGAGCUUUUUUUUUUUUUUUCCUUUCUAUGGAGCUGGAAACUUUUGUUCCCUAAAGAAAUGGACAGCCAAAAGAAUGUGAAAUCUUCCUGGAUGUGUUUGAAGCUUUGUAUUUUUAGCUCAGUUGUGCAACAGUUCAUGUGCCAAUACCCAAACAGUAAGGCAAAAACGAAAGAACACAGCUGUUUCCAAGAGGCCAGAGGAGCCAAACAGAAGUGGAACAGCUUUCAGAUGGGACUUCUAUUGCAACAGAUGCUUCACUGAAGACUGUCUUAUGGUUUUAUUGAAAAGAAUGCAAGCCUGGCUGUAAAGAUGGUUUUCAAGACAGGUCUUUAUUUUUGGGAAACCUUAUCCUUGGAUUGCUGAAAUGAUACGAAUGAAUUGGUCUUUUGAAUGCUGAAAAUCUGAACACUUCCUAAGCAGAAGUAGACAGCUAGGUAACUGAAAACACAGUUGCAGAAUUAGAAUAAAAUCCUACUUUCCUACAACUGACCAGUUAAUGGGAAAAGGGCAAGACCUUAUCCUACCUUUUGUAUGAGUUUUCAACAUAAACUACACAUGUGCAGUAUGAGGAUUACAUGUCUCUCUAAAAACCCAGCUUUGAUCACAACACUGACCUAAGUGCAUCUCUCAACCUUUUCCAAGCAGAUAUCCUAAGAAACUUUUCAGCAAAACAGUGAUUUGUCAAAGACUGCUGACCUGUACAACGGGAAAUAGUUCAUCUGAAAUAUAAUGAGAUCAGUGAAUCUUGGAUGAAUGAGAAGCAGGGUUUCCAAAAUGCUUCUGGGUUCUGGAGAGCCAAGACAGAAAGCAAAGUAAAGCCAGCUCAAAUAAUUAUAUUGUACUGCAUGUUUUUUUUUUUUCUUUUUUCUUUUUUUUCCUGUUAUUGAUUUGCUUAUUAAGGAGGAAAUUACUCAUGAAUAAAGGGAGUAGUUGGGUG
ensembl:lncRNA